UCAGCUCCACAGGUUACACCGAGGAUCUGGCCCAGAGCGAAGACUGCUCAGUCCAUACUCCACAGACCUGUCAAUCCUUGGUCCCUCUGCUGAGACUGCCAGGGGAGGUGGCACAUUCAGCUAGUGCUAAUGUGGGCAUUUGCCCCAGUUUUUGCAGUGCUGUUGUUGUAGCCGUAUUGGUCCCGGGAUAGGAGAGAGACAAGGGAGGGGAGAGAGACACACCGAGCUCUUCGCCAGGUCUGGGCAGGCUCCUCCCAGCGUCACAGCUCAAUGCCAGGUGGACAGAUUGUGAAGCGUAAGGGGUUAUCGCAUGUUGCAAGAAGCCAUUCAAAACGAGGUGGGCAGCUGACACCUUUACAGCCAUAGGACUGAGGAGAGUUGGCGGGUUACAGAGCGUUGUCAUGAGACACAAAACCAGGGUCUCUAUUGACUUAAGCUGGACCCCCAAAAUCACAGACUCUAAGGGACGCUGGCUUUAUGUCUCCUGACACCGAUCUGUAACCCACUAACUCUCCUUUGGGGAAGAAGAGCUCUGUGGAGCUCAAAAGCUUGUCACUUUCACCAACAGAAGCUGGUCCAAUAAAAGAUGUGCCCUGUCAUAAACAGAUAGUUAAGGGUUAAUGUCUCUUUUACCUGUAAAGGGUUAACAAACAGGGAAACAAACACCUGAGCAGGGGACCAAUCAGGAGACAAGAUACUUUCAAAUCUCGGUGGAGGGAAGCCUUUGUUUGGUUUUUUUGGGGUUUGGCUUUGUUCUCUCUGGGCUCUGAGAGUGACCACACGUACCUACAGGCUCUCUAACCUUCUAUUCCAAUUUUGUAAGUACAAAAGGUAAAAAGGCAGUAUAGUCUUUUUAUUUGUUUUCCUUUAUUUGCAACUGUGUACUUUGCUGGAAGUAUUUUAAAUUGUAUUUUGCUGGGGGGAGGCUUCUUUCUAGUUUCUAUAAGCUGACGGACCCUGUAACUUUUUACCAUCUAAAUUGCAGAGAUAAACUUUUACUUUUUAUUUCUUUCUUUUUAUUAAAAGCUUUGCUUUAAGACC